UUGUUGCAGUUAAAAAGCUCGUAGUUGAACUUUAGGCAAGGCGGCCUGGUCACCCACUGGGUGUACUGGGCUCGCCGCGCCUCACCUUCGGGGAACUAGUCGUGCUUCGGUGCGCUAGGGAACCGAGCCUUACUUUGAAGAAAUUAGAGUGUUUAAAGCAGGCUUACGCUUGAAUACGCCAGCAUGGAAUAACAAGAUAGGACUUUGGUUCUAUUUUGUUGGUUUGAGGACCAAAGUAAUGAUUAAUAGGGCCAGUCGGGGGCAUUAGUAUUCUAUAGUCAGAGGUGAAAUUCUUGGAUUUAUAGAAGACUAACUAAUGCGAAAGCAUUUGCCAAGGAUGUUUUCAUUAAUCAAGAACGAAAGUUAGGGGAUCGAAGACGAUUAGAUACCGUCGUAGUCUUAACCAUAAACUAUGCCGACUAGGGAUCGGUGGAUGUCGCUUUUGACUCCAUCGGCACCUUACGAGAAAUCAAAGUUUUUGGGUUCUGGGGGGAGUAUGGUCGCAAGGCUGAAACUUAAAGGAAUUGACGGAAGGGCACCACCAGGAGUGGAGCCUGCGGCUUAAUUUGACUCAACACGGGAAAACUCACCAGGUCCGGACAUGGGAAGGAUUGACAGAUUGAGAGCUCU
rnacentral:rRNA from 1 species